UAUCAAUAAGCGGAGGAAAAGAAACUAACCAGGAUUCCCUCAGUAACGGCGAGUGAAGAGGGAAGAGCCCAGCACCGAAGCCUGCGGCAGAUUUGCUGUUAGGCCAUGUGGUGUGUGGGCCGACUCGCGGGGUCGUCACUCCACUCGAAGUCCAGCAUUGAGUAUGGUUAUCCCUGGAUUUGGCCCAUAGAGGGUGAGAGGCCCGUACGGGUGGAGGUUCAGACAUGUGAGGCGAUUCACCAGGUCGGCCUUAGAGUCGGGUUGUUUGAGAUUGCAGCCCAAAGUGGGUGGUAAACUCCAUCCAAGGCUAAAUACAGGCACGAGUCCGAUAGCGAACAAGUACCGUGAGGGAAAGUUGAAAAGUACUCUGAAGAGAGAGUAAACAGUACGUGAAGCCGCAUGCAGGUAAACGGGUGGCGUCAAGCUGCGAGCCCGGAGGAUUCAGCUGACUGGGUUGUAGUGUGCGCGCUUGGUGCGUCAAAUGGCCGGAGUAAGAUGUAGUAGUUCACUUCUCUGCUAGGAGUGAGAUGCAGUUGGGUGGUGAAUAAACCCUCAAUUGUUAUCAUGCGUGCCGGGUGGGUGCCGGUGCAUGCUACUCGUCUGUUGGGCCGCCUGGUCAGUGCACUUUCUCUGUGGUGAACACCACGACCGGUGGAAUUGCCAGUCUGCUGUGAUCAAGUCGUGUUUAUCUGGUCCCUCGGCUGCUACCCUUCGGGGUGGUUGGCUGAGUCAGAUGGACACGAUCGCAGGUGGAGCGAGUGGACGGCGUAGUGGUGCCUCGGUACUGCUGCGUGUUAUCGUACACUCACCGCUGUAAACGAGGCCGUCAGGCGUGUUGUAACCGCGUCUGGUGGUGUCAUCAUCUCGGCGGAUCAUGGUGGUGAAAGUGACUGUGCAAGGCAUCGGAGUUGUCCACCUCAUUUAUCUCAUGGUAUUCGGCACGCACGUUACAGGUGCUAUGAAUCAGGGCGCGCCGCUGUCUGUGGGUGUCGGGCCUGACUGUUCGUGUUGCCCGCGCAAAGUGGGUCCGGCGGUGGUUGUCGACACCUUGCAGUGUGCAGUGUAUUAAAGCGUUGCCUUGGGUGCAUGUAACACCGGGGGUGGAAUAGUCAGUGGUGCUGUGGUAGACGAGCUACCCGACCCGUCUUGAAACACGGACCAAGGAGUUUAACAUGUGUGCGAGUCAAAGGGUCCUACGAAACCCCGAGGCGUAGUGAAAGUGAAGUUCGUGCUACACUCUCACACAUACGCGCAGUGUAGCACGAUGCGGUGAGAUCCUGCUGUUUAUCGCUGUAACUGCUGGGUGCCUUGUGUGUUACCAAGCUAAGGGCAGUGGGCGCAUCACCGGCCCGUCGCAUGAUGUGGUCAUGGGUGUCUGUGUGAUGGUAUGCGCUUGCGUGUGCCGUUACACUAGCCUGUGCGUCAUCGGGGCGGAGCAUGAGCACACACGUUGAGACCCGAAAGAUGGUGAACUAUGCUUGCGUAGGUUGAAGCCAGAGGAAACUCUGGUGGAGGACCGUAGCGAUUCUGACGUGCAAAUCGAUCGUCAAACGUGAGCAUAGGGGCGAAAGACUAAUCGAACCAUCUAGUAGCUGGUUCC
rnacentral:rRNA from 1 species